GACGAACGCUGGCGGCGUGCUUAACACAUGCAAGUCGAACGGAAAGGCCCUGCUUUUGUGGGGUGCUCGAGUGGCGAACGGGUGAGUAACACGUGAGUAACCUGCCCUUGACUUUGGGAUAACUUCAGGAAACUGGGGCUAAUACCGGAUAGGAGCUCCUGCUGCAUGGUGGGGGUUGGAAAGUUUCGGCGGUUGGGGAUGGUCUCGCGGCUUAUCAGCUUGUUGGUGGGGUAGUGGCUUACCAAGGCUUUGACGGGUAGCCGGCCUGAGAGGGUGGCCGGCCACCUUGGGACUGAGAUACGGCCCAGACUCCUACGGGAGGCAGCAGUGGGGAAUAUUGCACAAUGGGCGGAAGCCUGAUGCAGCAACGCCGCGUGCGGGAUGACGGCCUUCGGGUUGUAAACCGCUUUCGCCUGUGACGAAGCGUGAGUGACGGUAAUGGGUAAAGAAGCACCGGCUAACUACGUG
rnacentral:rRNA from 1 species